rnacentral:rRNA from 1 species
UACAGAGGUCUCAAGCGUUGUUCGGAUUCAUUGGGCGUAAAGGGUGCGUAGGUGGCGCGGUAAGUCGGGUGUGAAAUCUCGGAGCUUAACUCCGAAAUUGCAUUCGAUACUGCCGUGCUCGAGGACUGGAGAGGAGACUGGAAUUCAUGGUGUAGCAGUGAAAUGCGUAGAUAUUGGGAGGAACACCAGUGGCGAAGGCGGCUCGCUGGACCGGUUCUGACGCUGAUGCGCGAAAGCGUGGGGAGCAAACGGG